UACGGGGGGGGUAAGCGUUGUUCGGAAUUACUGGGCGUAAAGAGCUCGUAGGCGGACUGUCACGUCUGCUGUGAAAAGCUGGGGCUUAACCCUGGGCUUGCAGUGGAUACGGGCAGACUAGAGGCAGGUAGGGGAGAAUGGAAUUCCCGGUGUAGCGGUGAAAUGCGCAGAUAUCGGGAGGAACACCGGUGGCGAAGGCGGUUCUCUGGGCCUGACCUGACGCUGAGGAGCGAAAGCGUGGGGAGCGAACAGG
rnacentral:rRNA from 1 species